GUGUCAAGGGAUGGGAAUCGAACCCACGACCUUCCGCUUACCGGGCAGAUGCCAUGACCACUAGGCCACAAACA
rnacentral:tRNA from 1 species